UCUAAUACACCCCCAAAUACUAGAUCCCUUGAGGGGAUAGUAGUAUUAACUAGAUACAGAACCAACACACGAUUAUUAUCACUUUUGUGGUGACAAUAAUGUGGGAGAAAGUGAUUCAUAGUAACCGAGCGAAUCGCAUUGUAAUUAUCUUUUGAUGAUUGGCUAUAGAUCAUUGAAAUUUUCUGACUUAUCAGCUUUCGACGGUAGUGUACUAACUACCGUGGCAUUGACGGGUGACGCGGAAUUAGGUUCGAUUCCGCAGAGGGAGCCUGACAAAAAACGGCUACCACAUCUAAGGAUUGCUGCAGGCGCGCAGAUUACCCAAUCCCGACUCAGGGAGGUAGUGACAAGAGAUAACAACACUGGAAAUUUGAGAUCUAGUGAGUGCAAUGAUGGGAAUUCAAACCCCUUCAGAAUAACAAUUGAAGGGCAAGUCUGGUGCCAGCAGCCGCCGCAAUUCCAGCUCCAAUAACGUAUAUUAAAGUUGUUGCAGUUAAAAAGCUCGUAGUCCGAUGUCUGUUGGAACAAUCAUCAAGCCGCCCUAUUUGAUUAGGGUGUGAAUAUGAUGACUUCCGGCAUAAUAGUCUCCCUGUUAGUAUCCAUUAUUAGAUUCAUUUCUAAUAGUAAUUAUUAAUAGCCGAGAAGCGUUACUUUGACAAUAUUAGACUGUCUGAAGCAGGCUUUUGUUGACUUGAAUACUGCAGCAUGGAAUAGCAAUAUGGAUUUUCGGUUCUAUUUCGUUGGCUCUUUCUUUUUAGGAUAGAAAUAUUGAUUAAUAGGGACAGUUCGGGGUAUAUGUAUUUAACUGUCAGAAGUGAAGUUCUAUGAUUUGUUAAAGACGAACUACUGCGAAAGCAUUUGCCAAAGAUGUUCCCACUAAUCAAGAAGGAUAGUUCGGGGCUUGAAGACGCUCAGAUACCGUCGUAGCGUAAACCAUACAAUGAACCGACUGGAGAUAGGCAACUGGCAUUAUUGUUGACUUCUCGUGCACCUUAUAAAAAAUCAAAGUCUUUGGGUAGUGGGGGGAGUAUGGGCGCAAGGCACCUUUAGAGUCGUUGACGGAAGGGCACCACCAGGCGUAAAGCCUGCGGCUUAAUUCGGCUGAACACGGGGAAA
rnacentral:rRNA from 1 species